rnacentral:rRNA from 1 species
CCUACGGGAGGCAGCAGUGGGGAAUUUUGGACAAUGGGCGAAAGCCUGAUCCAGCAAUGCCGCGUGUGUGAAGAAGGCCUUCGGGUUGUAAAGCACUUUUGUCCGGAAAGAAAUCCUUGGCUCUAAUACAGUCGGGGGAUGACGGUACCGGAAGAAUAAGCACCGGCUAACUACGUGCCAGCAGCCGCGGUAAUACGUAGGGUGCAAGCGUUAAUCGGAAUUACUGGGCGUAAAGCGUGCGCAGGCGGUUUGCUAAGACCGAUGUGAAAUCCCCGGGCUCAACCUGGGAACUGCAUUGGUGACUGGCAGGCUAGAGUAUGGCAGAGGGGGNUAGAAUUCCACGUGUAGCAGUGAAAUGCGUAGAGAUGUGGAGGAAUACCGAUGGCGAAGGCAGCCCCCUGGGCCAAUACUGACGCUCAUGCACGAAAGCGUGGGGAGCAAACAGGAUUAGAUACCCUGGUAGUCCACGCCCUAAACGAUGUCAACUAGUUGUUGGGGAUUCAUUUCCUUAGUAACGUAGCUAACGCGUGAAGUUGACCGCCUGGGGAGUACGGUCGCAAGAUUAAAACUCAAAGGAAUUGACGGGGACCCGCACAAGCGGUGGAUGAUGUGGAUUAAUUCGA